GGUAGACCUGUGGAUGAGAAGUACAGGUGACAGCACAAGCUGGCAUGCAUCCUGCAGGCAAGGGUGUUGGAGGUGUCCUUCAGUGUGACAUGUUCUAGGACCCCAAGUAUGGUCAGCAGAUUUGAUACCAAUCAACAUUUUCAAGGAGCAUGCAAAGCUGCAGUGGUGCAUUGGAGUGUGCAGACACCUUCCCUGCAAUGCUGGCCAGCUGAAGAUGGAUGGGAAAAGCUGAAGUCACCUCUUCUCCAGUGGUUCUCUACCCUGCCUCCCUGUGCCCUGUGAGGACACAGGCACAUCCUGACCCCCUGACCCAAACCAGAGCUUCCUGAACAAGAGUCCAGUAGGACAAGAAGGCAGAACACUGAAUAUGCAUAUGCCUUGUAGGAAACUUUCCAGUAGAUUAAAGCAAGAUUUGUAACAUUGACUGGGAUGAAUGACAUCCAGGGAGGAUUUGACUGCUGGUGGGAGAGAGACUUGGACCUGUGAAGAUUGUGGUGAAGAACUGGAAAUGCUGGCAAGUGAUAAGAGAAUGUGGUAGGCUGAGGUAUGAAGGGAAGAGUGUCUGCAGAAAUUUGGCAGUUAGGUUGUGGGUUUUUGGAACAUAGUUUUGCAAAGGUGGUUUUAAGGGAUGCUAAGUAGCACUAGUCAGGAAUAAUUUUCAUGUGCUAUGUUCAGAUGAAACAGUGUUUACAGUUUUCAGCCUGGGUGAGAAUCCUUCUACUCUACCAGAUCUUGUGAAAAGAAACCCUGUCCCAAUCUGCAGACAGUCCAAACAGGUAAACGGGAAAGAAGGAGGAAGAGAACUACAAGAUGUUUAUACUGUGACCAGAAUGUGAGCCCUUUAUCUCAGGUAAGAUUUUGAACAUUAGUGUUACAGAUCUGCUCUUACUUUCCUCAGGAGAAUACUCAUUCACUUUGCCAUGUAGCAUGCUGAGUUUCAUUUCUAAUUGAAUUGGGAUCACCUGGUAAAAGCCAAGCCUGCAGUCACAUCUGCAUUUGAGGGAGACGUGAAAUAUGACAGAGGUGUAAUUCAGUGUAACUGGCUAACUAGCCAAUUUUUGGAAAAAAAAAAAAAAAAAACAGGAUGAAAAAGGAAAGGCGAAAAACAGAAGAGCUUUUUCUUGUUAAUUAAGUUAAUUCUGCCAAGGCAAAUCAAGAGCAACAUCACUGUACCAAAUGGAACUAUAAUGGUGUAAAACCAGGAAAUGCAAAGGGAGAGUAAGUCUCAAGUUUUGUUAACGGCCUGGAUUUAUCAUUUGUGGCUGUGGAAAGAAUGCAUAUUUGUGAUUUUUCUGCUUUUUCUCUAAUGUUUCAAAGAACAGAUACUUAAAAAUCCCUCAGGAAUUUCAAAUGGAAUAGAAUUUUGUUUUAUUUUAUUUUAUUUUAUUUUAUUUUAUUUUAUUUUAUUUUGUUUUGUUUUGUUUUAUGUUAUUUUUUAUUUUUUAUUGUAUGUUUUGUUUUGUUUAUUAUUGUCCUAGUAAAUUAGAAUACAAAAUUAAUAUCUUUUUACAUUGUCUGUUUCCCUAUUGCCUUAAUUGUUAGUUAGUUCAUUUAUACUCUUCUUUUUUUUUUUUUUGUCAUAUAAUCCUAAGGUACAUUAAGAAAGACUAGUGUGGACCUGAUCAAGUCAGUGGAAGCUGCAGAAGACUGAAACCUAGAAUAAAAAUAUUAUCUUCUUUUAUGUGUAGGCAGAUACUUCUAGAUUACAAAGAGCUUGACUGCAAAACAGGAAAUACGCUCAUUUUUUAGAUUGGGAAGAUACAAAACAGUGAUGUUGCAGUAAUCAAAGCAUCUGGGUUUCUAAGUUUGAAUACUUUGUCUACUGAAUCAUACUGAUAAAUAAAUGAGACAUGAUUAUCUCUUUUGCAUUACUAUCCUUGUGUGAUCUAUUCUGUGAAUUCAAUUAAGAAACAUUUAACACAGUGCAAAACCAAAAUCCCUCCAAUUUAUCUCUAGCAAGGAUCCAACACAGAGUUUGAACCAGGGGCACUGUUAACAAAUCAUCUAUGCCAACUUAUCUAGGUGGUUAGGUGUUUCAUGAUGUUUUUUGUUUCUUCACUGACUGAAUGAUCAUGAUAAUACUGCAAGUAUAAAUAUUAUCAUUCACUUUUGCCAAUAUACUGUCAAUACUCAUCAAGUUUGAACAUAAAAUAAGGUGCAAAGAAAAACUGAUUUUAUUUAAAAAGUGGGCAAAUAUUUGCAGAAAUUAUUUUGAAUUAUUUUUCUCCUCUGUUCAGCAUUCUCAGUUCCCAGUGGUAUGAUGAGAGUUUGAAACACAGAAUGUCUCCCAGAGGUGCUCACCUAUUUGCAAGAACAACCCUGCAGCUCAUAUCUCUAGU